GCCAGUGUGGCUCAGUGGUAGAGCUUCAGCCUGCUCACCAAAGAGUCUCAGGUUCAAUUCCUGGUCAAGGGCA
rnacentral:tRNA from 1 species